AAAAGUUUCGCGCUUACACGGCAACUUUUUGAAAACGUGUCAGUUUCCAUGGAAAUGGCAGAAAUGCUGAAAAUGAUGUAGCUAGCAUGUUUGGAUGAGUUGUCCAAUUUGAGCAGUAGAAAUGAAUGCAGCAUCGUUCUGUAGAAAAUGAGCAGAAGCACCUCAGACCAGGGCUCCAGCCGAGGGGAAGUGAAGAGGAAUACACUAAUAAAGCAGAUUUAUGGACCUGCAUGCCGUUCAAAAACCUGCUGUGGCUCCACAGUCCCUCUACAUUGAAGUGAGUCUGAAGAGGACCAUCAGCAUGAUCCCCAGAGUGGCGUCUCUCGCAAUGUGCAGCUGCUGGUGAAACAAGAUGCUCCGUGGAUACUCAGCAGGACCUGCAGCACAUCAAGGAGGAACCAGACGAACUCCACCUCAGUCAGGAGGGAAUGACGCAGGAAGAGAAGCAUGUCGACAGGCACUCCGUCAUUCGUGUUGUGAAGACUGAAGAUGAUAAUGAUGACAAGGAGAAACCCGAGUCCUCACAGCUCCAUCAGACUCAAACUGACUUUCUGAGCAGCAGCUCAGAUAAACCAAUGGAAACAGGAAGUGUUGGAGAGAGAAUUUUCUAUGUGGCUUCACACAGCGCAUCUCAAAGAUACACAGGAGAGACAUCUGCCAGAUCCACCUUAAAAAAGGCAUGUGAAUCAAUACAAAAUUAACAGUUUGUCUUGUUUGUUAUCUUUUACCUUUCUUGUGUUUAUAUUUUUACUUCAUCCACAUUGUCAUUUAACAUGAUACCAGUUGAAGUAUUGCAUUAUUUUUUUUUUUUAUCAUACUUUAAUUCAAUAAUGAAACAAACUAAAGAUAAGAUGUUGUUGCUGCAGUAGUUCCACACAGAGACCACCAGAGGGCAGAAAAAAUUAAGCUUAUCUGAACAAGUCAUGUCAAGGGACACUCG